rnacentral:rRNA from 1 species
AACGAACGCUGGCGGCAUGCCUAACACAUGCAAGUCGAACGGGUACCUUCGGGUGCUAGUGGCGCACGGGUGCGUAACGCGUGGGAAUCUGCCCUUGGGUUCGGAAUAACUCAGCGAAAGCUGUGCUAAUACCGGAUGAUGUCGAAAGACCAAAGAUUUAUCGCCCGAGGAUGAGCCCGCGUUGGAUUAGCUAGUUGGUGGGGUAAAGGCCUACCAAGGCGACGAUCCAUAGCUGGUCUGAGAGGAUGAUCAGCCACACUGGGACUGAGACACGGCCCAGACUCCUACGGGAGGCAGCAGUGGGGAAUAUUGGACAAUGGGCGAAGGCCUGAUCCAGCAAUGCCGCGUGAGUGAUGAAGGCCUUAGGGUUGUAAAGCUCUUUUACCCGGGAUGAUAAUGACAGUACCGGGAGAAUAAGCUCCGGCUAACUCCGUG